GACGAACGCUGGCGGCGUGCUUAACACAUGCAAGUCGAACGAAGUGGCGAACGGGUGAGUAAUACGUGGGUAACCUGCCCUCCUUUUUGGGAUAAGCCUUGGAAACGGGGUCUAAUACCGAAUAAAGGGGGCGGGGCUCGCGGCCUAUCAGCUUGUGGGUGGGGUGAUGGCCUACCAAGGCGGUGACGGGUAGCCGGCCUGAGAGGGUGACCGGCCACAUUGGGACUGAGAUACGGCCAAGACUCCUACGGGAGGCAGCUGUGGGGGAUAUUGCACAAGGGGGGAAAGCCUGAUGCAGGGACGCCGCGUGGGGGAUGGAGGCUUUCGGGUUGUAAACCUCUUUCGCUAGCGAGCGGGUAGGUGGAGAAGAAGCGCCGGCUAACUACGUGCCAGCAGCCGCGGUAAUUC
rnacentral:rRNA from 1 species